UACGUAGGGUGCGAGCGUUGUCCGGAAUUAUUGGGCGUAAAGAGCUCGUAGGUGGUUUGUCGCGUCGACUAUGAAAGCUCCUGGCUUAACUGGGAGUGUGUGGUCGGUACGGGCAGACUUGAGUGCAGUAGGGGAGACUGGAAUUCCUGGUGUAGCGGUGGAAUGCGCAGAUAUCAGGGGGAACACCGGUGGCGAAGGGCGGGUCUCUGGGCGUGUUACUGACGCUGAGGAGCGAGAGCGUGGGGAGCGAACAGG
rnacentral:rRNA from 1 species